UAACUACUCCCUCCGUUCGGAAUUACUUGUCUCGGAAAUGGAUGUAUCUAGAACUAAAAUACGUCUAGAUACAUCCAUUUUCGCGACAAGUAAUUUCGAACUAAAAUACGUCUAGAUACAUCCAUUUUCGCGACAAGUAAUUUCGAACGGAGGGAAUAGCAG
rfam:Triticum aestivum genome assembly, contig: Triticum_aestivum_CS42_TGACv1_scaffold_576831_7BL